rnacentral:rRNA from 1 species
UACGAAGGGGGCUAGCGUUGCUCGGAAUCACUGGGCGUAAAGCGCACGUAGGCGGAUUGCUAAGUCAGGGGUGAAAUCCUGGAGCUCAACUCCAGAACUGCCUUUGAUACUGGCGACCUUUGAGUCCGGGAGAGGUGAGUGGAACUGCGAAGUGUAGAGGUGAAAUUCGUAGAUAUUCGCAAGAACACCAGUGGCGAAGGCGGCUCACUGGCCCGGUACUGACGCUGAGGUGCG